CUGAAAAUUUUGCCAGGGGCGUAAAUGUAAAUAAAUGAAAAUGGAAAUGGAAAUGUAAUUAAUCUGUAUUUGAGUAAUUUUUGACCAAAGUAAUUGUAUAAAGUUGUAACUAAUUACCCGACCAAUGUAUUUACAUACAUAGUUGGUAAUUGUAUAAGUACAUACUUAAUUGCGCUCGUCGAGCGGUUACAGUCAGGAGCAAAACGAUAAGCGAUAUGGUUUUUUUCGCUUAGUUUUCACAUCAGUGUACCGAAUGACUUGAAGCUUUACACAAAUCUGUAUAAUUGCAUUACUUACUUAUAACAUUAGCAUGACAUUCCAGCUUCAUCGGAAACAGCUCGUAGCUAGAAAAAAUUGAAAAAUAGGUGGUGCAAAACGAUAGGCGAUGAUCGAUAUUUUUUAAUUAAAAGUCUAUUUAUUUUACUGAUCAAUAUUUGAAGUUUCUAGUGACUUUUGGUACUUCGACGACCCUAAUGCUUUGAAAUAAAUUCAUUACGUCGGGGGUACAAGGGGCCCACGAGCUAUUAGAGCGCCUGUGUCUCCACUCUCGCCUAAGUUUACAAAAUUGCAUCUUUCAUCUGGGUGACGUUGUCAUACUGCCAGGCCCCGUUCUAGGUAAUGUGGCGCCCUAGGCAAAAUUAUAAUGGCGCCCCAACGUUUUUGUUCCUUCGGCGCUCGCAAAGACUUCUGCUAAUUUGAUUUCACUUAGCUGAAUUUUCAAAAAUACCAAUCAGGUUACUUAAUAAUAAAAUUAAUUAUGAUUACGAAAACAAUAAUUAGCAGAUAUAUUUUUGUCGUCACAAAGACAAAAAUGAUUGAAUUGAAGUUGUUGCAUAAUUUGUCAUUUCAAAAUACUGAAAACUGAAAAUCUAUAUUGGUCGGCGGCGGCCGCGCUCCGCGGCGUGGUGAGCAAAUAUCGGCGGCGCCUACAUAAAUUACUAAACAUAUCUGCACUAAAUACAUAGGGUCUGAAACCUGCCAAUAAUCGGAAAUAUACGAUAUUUCUUGCAAAAUGAAUGUUUUCAUUAACUUUUUCUUCAUCAUGCACUUUCGACAAGUUUAGAGCAUUAUUGAAAAUGUAAUAUUUGACGAUAGGAAAAUUUUUAUCAUAUCAAUUUUCAAAAUUAAAGAAAAAUAAUUUUUAACAAAAUAAAAAAAAUAACUACAUUAAAAAAUUAAUCAAUUUAAGUAUAAAUCGGCGGCCGAAUAUUGGCGCCGGCGCGCCGACUAGAUUUUAGCGGCGGCGGCAUCGCGUCAAAACCGUUCGGCGCCCGGCGGCGCGGGCAAUCGGCGGCGUUGACCUCUGAGUUUAAACUCUUGGAAACGUAUUUUUGUAUUUCUAUAGAAGUAAUUUUGGGCCUACAUGUUCUUUCAUUUCUGAAAUAUCGUUAAAAUUGGAAAAUUUGCAGGCUUUUUAAAAAUCCUGAUUUUAGAUGAAACUGUAUUCAAAAACUCUGCCACAACCGAAAACUUGCGUAUUGAAAUUCCGUGAAGGGUUUCAUGAUAUUUCGGUAUAUGGGCAAUUUAAAAUUAGGUCAAAUUACGAGCAAAUUACUACGCAUUGCAAGUUGAACGAAAUUAUGAUGGAAUCCGAAACCGAGAAUAUUUUUCUCUCUCGGGAUAAAAAUUUCUCGAUAGAAAUGCAAACUCUCGCUUAUGGAUUCCGUCAUAAUUUCGAUUAAGCCGAACAUCAUGAGAAAUCCUGAAGCACGUGUUUAAUUAUGUAUCUCAGUCUACAUAAUUAUCGUGGUUUCGUCAAAACCAGCGCGACACCGCUGGCGUUAUGGACUUGUACUUCUCGCCUUCUGAGGCCUUGUUGCUAAAAAAUUAAAAGCACAAGAUUUAUAAAUAAAUUCCAGUUUUAUCCGGCAGAAAUUUCAAGCUAAAGUUUCAUUCAAGCAAAGUAUUGUGCAACAGAUUCCAGUCACAAUAAUUGAAACGCUCGGAUGUAAAACAGCCUUCGCGACAAUUUUUUUUUUAAAUUCAACCUAUCUAUCUAUUCAACCUAUUUAAAAAACCUAUCAGUACAGCUUUGCUUAGCCCGAGCCAGGAAUGUUUAGUAAACUCAUGUUUGUCAGAAUUUUCUAUAAAAAAUCGAAAUUCAGAUCUUAACUUAUUUUUCGCAUCCAUACUAAAAUUCAGCUGAAUAUUGAAACUAAUAGAAAUCGGUAUGGGUCACCCCCAAGGGACCCUCUUGUUACUUGUUGUUCAUAUUUGACUUCAAAUUAUUUCAUGAGAAGUCAUUAAGUGUCACCGUGCCGAAUUUCAGCUUCUUACGUCAAUUUCUAAAAAUCGGUAUGGGUCACCCCAAAGGGUCCCGGGCAUGAAAAUCCGAUGGACACUCGGAUUCAAAGAGUCGCACUUUCAACAAUGUAUCGUCUGCAAGUGAACAACCAAUGGUUGGGAUGGUAUGGGAGGGGAUUCAAAGGGCCUAUGUCACACAUGGACUUUUGCAAUAACCUCUCUAGUAAAGUAACUAUUGACGGGCCUGGGAAAACCGACCGUAGAGAGUGGGCUGUAGAGAGUGGGCUGAACAAGCAAACAAAUCCAGGUGGCAGGAUACUCAUCUGUGUAAGCAGACCGAACUCUUUCUUAACCUCUUAAGGACGAAGUACACACAUUUGUGUAGUAUUUUAUUUUCCGUUGAGGACGAAAUACACAAAUUUGUGUAAUAAUUUUAUUUCCCUUGGGGACGAAAUACACACAUUUGUGUAGCAGAUGAUUUUCCGUUGAGGACGAAGUACACAAAUGUGUGUACCGCAUAAAUUAUCCUGACACCCAAGUUUCUCAAAAAUAAGAGUAUUUCUUCGGUAUUUUUUGGAAAACUCUAUGGUAAAAAGUGGAUUUUUUCGGGUAUUUUUCUUCACAAAUUUUGGAAUUUUCCCUAUACCGACCAAUGUUAAAAAGUGGAUUUUCGUGUUUUUCGCAAAAAAACUCAAAACUUGGAAACUCGUGGAAAUAAAUGUUCCGUCUUUUAUAGGAAAUCACGAAGGUUUUAAAUGGUUGCUAUCAGGUGUAAUUAUGAAAUCGACAUCGUACCCAAGCGAAAUUUUGCUUAAAAAUCAGUAGUAUGAAAGAGGUUAAGGAGCCAUAUCAGGAAAACUUGGGAAACAUCAUAAAAUUAAACCGUAAUUCACUGCACCAAUUGUUCAGGUAGUAACGGGGCAUAAUAAUUUGAACUCACAUCUGUAUAAUUUGAACCUGGUGUCGUCCACUGGCUGCUUAUGCGGACAAGGGAAGGAAACAGGGUAUCACUUUAUUGCAGAAUGUGAUUUUUUUGCGAUGACCAGAUUGGUAGUACUCGAAGGGCUUUAUCUAACCUCCGAGGAAUUACUUGAAAUGCCGUUUGCCAGAUUAGCAAGAUUAAUUGCUAAGUCUGGAAGAUUUUUAAACGAUCGCGAAUGGCAGAUUUCGCAAUAUUAAACGCAAGUGCCCUUAGGGGAGUCGGUAAUUAGCCUUUAAUGUGCUACAGCCGCUGGCGUGACUGCCUCUAUUAAUGAGUAGUCUGGUCACCCCACAGUGCAAAAUUUGACCCUUUCUAAAGAAAGGUCCAUCUUCUGGAUUGUGCAAGGAAGGUUUCCGCCUAUAAUCCGACUUAAAACCUUUGGGACUUACCGUUGUGCGAAAGGGAUCACAUUUCAAAGCAGUAUGACAACGUCACCCAGAUGAAACAAGCAAUUUUGUAAACUUAGGCGAGAGUGGGGAAACAGGCGCUCUAAUCGCUCGUGGGCCCCUUGUACCCCCGAGAAACUAUACAAAACGCGGCUGGAGAAUUAGGUCCUCAAGAGGUCCCCCAGAUUCCGGGUAGUUCCGCACCCGUCCGCAUCGAGGCUCCCUCCGCAGCAAAUUUGGAAGACGAAUCUCGCGGUCCACUUGUGGCUCAGGAAACGACUGCGACUCUUACAAUUAGCAAUGGCUCACAACCAACCCAUGAUAACGCUGACGCACAGAUCAAUGGAUAUAUGAAAAAUAUCAAGGCCCAAAGGCGACCCAUUUGCAGAAAAAAGAGACUGACGAUAAGUUUAUUAAUUACUGGAAUCGUUAUCGCAUCUUUGUUAACUGCAUGGAUUCACGCCACCAUAAAGACCAAACUUCUGAACAAAGACCCCGCCCAGGGAACGGAAGUCGCCACACCUAUACAAAAUUAUCAUACUACCCCACCAGUUGCGAAAGGGCGGGAAAAUUUAUGCUUACGUUUAUCAAAAGACGAUAAACAAAGAUGUCGUGAAAUAUCCCCGCAGAAUGACAGACUUGUCACAUUAAAUUCUAAUAACCAACACGAUUUCUGUGACGGGGAAACCACCGGACGUUUCCUGGGGGGUAAUCUGAAUGCCUCCUCCGGCCAAGAAUUUUGUCCCCAUAAUCUCGUCGCGCUUGAAAUUUUGGUUACAAUAGAAGGAAAUCAGCUGACCAAUUUUCUGGACAGGUAUUGCCAAUUGAAAUCACUUUCAUUCGAGAAGAAUGCUUCACUACUGGGCAGUAUAGCUUACCCGAAGGAAAAGCGGGAUUUUCCACUGGAAUCGUUAUACUUCAUUGGAACGUUAAAUGUCGUAGAAAUUCUGAAUAAUCUUUCCGAACAUUUCGGGUUGCCUUGUUUGAUUGAGAUAAAUCUAGUUUGUAUAAACAUGAUGGCGGGGGAAAAUGCCAGUAUUCGCACGUUUGUAGCGUCACAUACAAGUGUAAGACGGAUUAAUUGUAAGGAUGACGACUUUUGUCAUAAUUUGGCAGAUAUAAAGAACACAAAUGAAUUAAAAGUCAACUACGCUAGUACAGGUUGUUGAACGUUUUGUUACGAAUUUGUAUCAAGUCAGAGUUGACAAUGAUGAGCUGGUAUGUAUCUCGUAACACUCGAAUAAAGUAUUGACUGGAUCCGUUGUCACUUAUUUUAAUAGUUGGAUUAAGGUGCGUCCCUUACAGACACCUUGGUCCAGGGAGUUAAUUAGACAAAUCGUCUUGAGCAAUGGAUGGCGUCGACACGCCGCCAAAAUUAUUAUUGCUCGUGUUACCCCUGAACUUAUCAACGUCUUGUUAGGAGUUUGGAUCGGUGUCCAAACUGUCCGGGACUACCGCCACCCCAAUGGCGUUCCUUAAGACGAAUAUAUGUAGGAACGCGUUCAAUGAAGUACGGCGAGACAAGCUGUUCGGGACCACUUUCUCGCAAAUUUUCCAUGGCGCAAGUAUGUAACUGCGCGAAACUACCAUGAUCAGGUCGAUGGUGCCGCCAUGAGACGACGUAAUUCUGGGAACGCUCCGCUCGGCGGUAGAGCCUUUGGGAUGCUCCAAUAAAGACGGGAAGCGUCCCGACGGAAUUACGUUUACCUAUGGUCAAGGGGGAAAUCUUUGAUUUAGAAUUUUACAUGCGCGGACAUAUUCGCCCCCAGUUAUUUUAUUCGACGCUGCGCUGCUAAGGCGCUGAUACCAGCAGCGCAGAGGGGGAAGUACGCCUUCCUCUUUGAUCAUUUCAAUUUUAUUCCUAUCGCAAUGGACACGCACGCGUGUGUGGGGGGAAAGGAGGGGCUUUCCCUUAUGAACGAAAUGAAAUUGCCAGAAUACGUCCACCUUUUCCCGCCACACAAUCUCGCUGGGUAUUCGGCGGAGAAACGUUACCUCUCUUUAAUGAACAUUUUCGGCCAAUUUUUAAUUUAUUUUUACUUUUUCAUUGUAAGUAUAUGAACGACUUUUUCAUUAAGGUUAGGAAAUUUGAAUGUUCGACUCCUUCGUAGUCAGCUUUUCUGACAUAUGGAUGUGAUAUGAUAAUGCGUUCGGAGGGAUAUUAAUUAUGUAAAAUACCAUAUUUAUAUACUUACUUAUUUUCAAAUUCUGUUAUAUAUAUAACUUUUUUAAAUCUAAUUUGAGGAAUAAAAUAAAAAAAAGGUUA